rnacentral:rRNA from 1 species
GGUAAGGUGAUAUGAACCGUUAUAACCGGCGAUACCCGAAUGGGGAAACCCAGUGUGACUCGUCACACUAUCAUUAACUGAAUCCAUAGGUUAAUGAGGCGAACCGGGGGAACUGAAACAUCUAAGUACCCCGAGGAAAAGAAAUCAACCGAGAUUCCCCCAGUAGCGGCGAGCGAACGGGGAGGAGCCCAGAGCCUGAAUCAGCAUGUGUGUUAGUGGAAGCGUCUGGAAAGGCGCGCGAUACAGGGUGACAGCCCCGUACACAAAAGCGCAUGUGCUGUGAGCUCGAUGAGUAGGGCGGGACACGUGGUAUCCUGUCUGAAUAUGGGGGGACCAUCCUCCAAGGCUAAAUACUCCUGACUGACCGAUAGUGAACCAGUACCGUGAGGGAAAGGCGAAAAGAACCCCGGCGAGGGGAGUGAAAAAGAACCUGAAACCGUGUACGUACAAGCAGUGGGAGCACCCUUCGGGGUGUGACUGCGUACCUUUUGUAUAAUGGGUCAGCGACUUAUAUUCUGUAGCAAGGUUAACCGAAUAGGGGAGCCGUAGGGAAACCGAGUCUUAACCGGGCGUUAAGUUGCAGGGUAUAGACCCGAAACCCGGUGAUCUAGCCAUGGGCAGGUUGAAGGUUGGGUAACACUAACUGGAGGACCGAACCGACUAAUGUUGAAAAAUUAGCGGAUGACCUGUGGCUGGGGGUGAAAGGCCAAUCAAACCGGGAGAUAGCUGGUUCUCCCCGAAAGCUAUUUAGGUAGCGCCUCGUGAAUUCAUCUCCGGGGGUAGAGCACUGUUUCGGCUAGGGGGCCAUCCCGGCUUACCAACCCGAUGCAAACUGCGAAUACCGGAGAAUGUUAUCACGGGAGACACACGGCGGGUGCUAACGUCCGUCGUGAAGAGGGAAACAACCCAGACCGCCAGCUAAGGUCCCAAAGUCAUGGUUAAGUGGGAAACGAUGUGGGAAGGCCCAGACAGCCAGGAUGUUGGCUUAGAAGCAGCCAUCAUUUAAAGAAAGCGUAAUAGCUCACUGGUCGAGUCGGCCUGCGCGGAAGAUGUAACGGGGCUAAACCAU